CGUUGUACACAAUAAUUUUAUCAUCGCUUUGCUUCACCCAUUCUCUUUCUGCUAUUCCAUAUUCAUUGCUUCAUAUUUUUCAGCUCUUGUUUUCUUUAGUCAAUGAUGUGGUCAAUGAUGAUACAAGUCAUGUACUGUAAAUUUAUUCUAAACUGUAAAGUAGGGUUAUGUUUAUAUCUCAAAGUCAAUGAAAAAAACUCAUCGCAUCUCAUCAAUAAACGUUGGAUAUCCACCUGAUUGACUGAAGUGUUGGAGGAGGUCGAAGUGGUACAGCAUACAGUGGCAUCAUCCCUUGAUACACUUUGCUGUGAUUGGGACACCAAAGUGAUGUGCCUUCAACAAUGCAAGUCAAGAGGAUAUUCACCUUUGAGAUCAAGGAGCCUGACUUUGGGGCAGAAUACAGCUGCAUCAAAAGACUUGCUAAUCAUUCGCAGACACCGCAGUGAUAUUCCUACAAAAAAAUACGUCAAGAGGAUAUGAAACGUUGGCUACUCACCUGGCACCAAAGUGCUGAAGGAGAUGGACGUAGUGAAGGCUACAGUUGCGUUGAUUGACAGACCCCACAGUGAUAUGCCUGCAACAAUGCACUUCAAGAGGAUAUGAAACGUUGGCUACUCACCUGGCACCAAAGUGCUGAAGGAGAUGGACGUAGUGAAGGCUACAGUUGCGUUGAUUGACAGACACCACAGUGAUAUGCCUGCAACAAUGCACUUCAAGAGGAUAUUCACCUUUGAGAUCAAGGAGCCUGACUUUGGGGCAGAAUACAGCUGCAUCAAAAGACUUGCUAAUCAUUCGCAGAUACCGCAGUGAUAUUCCUACAAAAAAAUACGUCAAGAGGAUAUGAAACCUUGGCUACUCACCUGGCACCAAAGUGCUGAAGGAGAUGGACGUUGUGAAGGCUAUAGUUGCGUUGAUUGACAGACACCACAGUGAUAUGCCUGCAACAAUGCACGUCCAGAGGUUAUCAAACAUAGGAUAUUCACCUGCGACUUAAGUGUUGGAGGAGGUUGACGUAGUGCAGGCUACAGUUGCGUUACUUCCCUCGAUAAACUUUUGCUACGAUUGACUGUCACCUCAGUGAUAUGACUGCAACAAGGAAUGUCAAAAUGUUAGACGUACAACAUACUUACUAUUAAAUAAUUAUACUACUAUUAAUGCUAUUACUUUAAUUCAAAUGGCUCU